CCUGAACACCGAAGGAAACACUUCUCGGCCAUAUUGUCCUGUCACAGCAGUAAGUUCAAUCUACUGCUGUAGCCGGACAUGCCGGUUGAGUUGUGUAUAACUACAAUUAAAGAAC
rnacentral:precursor_RNA from 12 species